rnacentral:misc_RNA from 1 species
AAGGAGUCCAACACAUACGCGAGUGUUUGGGUGGCAAACCCGAGCGCGAAAUUAAAGGGAAUGUAUGCGGGAUCCUUCGCGGGCACCAUCGACCGUUCUGGAUUCUUGUGAAAGGUCUGAGUAAGAGCGUAAUUGUUGGGACCCGAAAGAUGGUGAACUAUGACUGUUUAGGGUGAAGUCAGAGGAAACUCUGAUGGAAGCUCGUAGCGGUUCUGACGUGCAAAUCGGUCGUCAAAAUUGGGUAUAGGGGCGAAAGACUAAUCGAACCAUCUAGUAGCUGGUUCCCUC